rnacentral:lncRNA from 7 species
AGUUAAGAAAUAUAGCACAUUGGGAAUAGCAGAAGGGGAGUUAUACUGAAGCUACUACACAUGAUACAGUGGUUUAACACAUUUGCAGAGUGCUGUUGACAUCCAGAGUGACUCCGGUUAUGUGAAUGAUUUAACCAAAUGAAGGACAACAUUCUCUGAAAUAACAAAGGCUAUUUCAAGAGAGUCCUACUGGUGUUAAGAAUGAAACAAAAAGUAAGAAGAACAGAAUCCUGGCUUUGUGCAAAGGGAAAUAACAAAUAAGAUAAAUACUGUGGUACUGUAUGUUUUAAUGGAAGCAGUCUCAUGGUGGAGAUAAAAACACGGAAGGCUACUAAGAAUUGUAUCUCCUCUGUCUUGUGCUGUUAAACAUCUCAGAGGUUCUGCUGCUUCCAAGCCUAUCAUUGAAGAACAAGUGGCUGCAGAGACAAGCUCUAGCAUCACUGCUACCUGUCACAGCCAACACACAAUAUCAUUUUAAUUCGCGCAUACUAAAGAGCAAUAAUAACGAAGUUGAAGAAGCGCCUUUUUGGAUCUUUAAAUCACAAAAAUAACCACAUUAUUGUGAGCAAUAUUUAGCUUCUCUAAAGUUUACCAACUUCUGUAGGAAGUUUGUCUAUAAAGCUCACCAAAAAUGUCAGGUACUUUACCUUUUGGAUGUUUACAAGCUACCAGCUUAAAAGAGAUCACAGAAUGAACCAAGGGGCUGGGGGGAUUGUUUUGUUUUGUUGUUGUGCUAUCUCAGUGACUCAGGUAAAUCGUCAUCUAUGUGUAU